rnacentral:rRNA from 1 species
UACGGAGGGGGUUAGCGUUGUUCGGAAUGACUGGGCGUAAAGCGCGCGUAGGCGGAUCGGAAAGUCGGGGGUGAAAUCCCGGGGCUCAACCCCGGAAUGGCCUUCGAAACUCCCGGUCUUGAGUUCGAGAGAGGUGAGUGGAAUUCCGAGUGUAGAGGUGAAAUUCGUAGAUAUUCGGAGGAACACCAGUGGCGAAGGCGGCUCACUGGCUCGAUACUGACGCUGAGGUGCGAAAGCGUGGGGGAGCAAAC